rnacentral:rRNA from 1 species
CUCCUGGAACGGGUGGUAAUGCCGGAUGCUCCGCCCCCUCGCAUGGGGGGUCGGGAAGGCUUUUGCGGAAUGGGAUGGGGUCGCGUCCUAUCAGCUUGUUGGCGGGGCGACGGCCCACCAAGGCUUCGACGGGUAGCCGGCCUGAGAGGGCGACCGGCCACAUUGGGACUGAGAUACGGCCCAGACUCCUACGGGAGGCAGCAGUGGGGAAUAUUGCACAAUGGGGGGAACCCUGAUGCAGCGACGCCGCGUGCGGGAUGGAGGCCUUCGGGUCGUGAACCGCUUUUGAUUGGGAGCAAGCGUGAGUGAGUGUACCUUUCGAAUAAGCACCGGCUAACUACGUGCCAGCAGCCGCGGUAAUACGUAGGGUGCAAGCGUUGUCCGGAAUCAUUGGGCGUAAAGGGCUCGUAGGCGGUUCGUCGCGUCCGGUGUGAAAGCCCAUCGCUUAACGGUGGGUCUGCGCCGGGUACGGGCGGGCUUGAGUGCGGCAGGGGAGGCUGGAAUUCCCGGUGUAACGGUGGAAUGUGUAGAUAUCGGGAAGAACACC